AUGCUCGCUUCAUCAGCACAUAUACUAAAAUUGGAACGAUACAGAGAAGAUUAAUAUGGCCCCAUGCACAAGGAUGACACACAAAUUUGUGAAGAAGUAUCAUUGUAU